UACGUAGGGGGCAAGCGUUGUCCGGAAUCAUUGGGCGUAAAGCGCGUGUAGGCGGCCCGGUAAGUCCGCUGUAAAAGUCCAGGGCUCAACCCUGGAAGGCCGGUGGAUACUGUCGGGCUCGAGUCCGGAAGAGGCGAGUGGAAUUCCUGGUGUAGCGGUGAAAUGCGCAGAUAUCAGGAGGAACACCAAUGGCGAAGGCAGCUCGCUGGAACGGUACUGGCGCUGAGACGCGAAAGCGUGGGGAGCAAACAGG
rnacentral:rRNA from 1 species